UACGGAGGGUGCAAACGUUGCUCGGAAUUACUGGGCGUAAAGGGCGCGUAGGCGGCCUGCUAAGUCGAACGUGAAAUCCCCGAGCUCAACUCGGGAACUGCGUCCGAUACUGGCAGGCUUGAAUCCGGGAGAGGGAUGCGGAAUUCCAGGUGUAGCGGUGAAAUGCGUAGAUAUCUGGAGGAACACCGGUGGCGAAGGCGGCAUCCUGGACCGGCAUUGACGCUGAGGCGCGAAAGCCAGGGGAGCAAACGGG
rnacentral:rRNA from 1 species